GGGAAGGUAGCUCAGUGGUAGAGUGCUUGUCUUGAAUGCAUGAGUCCCUGGGUUCAAUUCCUCAGCACCA
rfam:Dipodomys ordii contig_51683, whole genome shotgun sequence.